rnacentral:rRNA from 1 species
CUAUGCGCCUUGCCAGCCCGCUCAGAAACUUAAAGGAAUUGACGGGGGCCCGCACAAGCGGAGGAGCAUGUGGUUUAAUUCGAUGAUACGCGAGGAACCUUACCUGGGCUCGAACGUAAGAUGACUGUAGGUGAAAGCUUACAUCUCUUCGGAGCAUUUUACGAGGUGCUGCAUGGUUGUCGUCAGCUCGUGCCGUGAGGUGUCGGGUUAAGUCCCAUAACGAGCGCAACCCUUGUCCUUAGUUACCAGCACGUUAUGGUGGGCACUCUAAGGAGACUGCCGGUGACAAACCGGAGGAAGGUGGGGAUGACGUCAAGUCAUCAUGGCCCUUACGGCCUGGGCUACACACGUGCUACAAUGGUCGGUACAAAGGGUUGCCAAGCCGCGAGGUGGAGCUAAUCCCAUAAAACCGAUCGUAGUCCGGAUCGCAGUCUGCAACUCGACUGCGUGAAGUCGGAAUCGCUAGUAAUCGUGAAUCAGAAUGUCACGGUGAAUACGUUCCCGGGCCUU